UGGCUCAGGAUGAACGCUAGCGACAGGCCUAACACAUGCAAGUCGAGGGCAGCACAAGGAGCAAUCUGAGGUGGCGACCGGCGCACGGGUGAGUAACACGUAUGCAACCUGCCUGUAAGCGGGGAAUAACCCGUUGAAAGACGGACUAAUACCGCAUAAUACUAAAUUACUGCAUGGUAAUUUAUUUAAACAUUUAUGGCUUACAGAUGGGCAUGCGCAUGAUUAGCUAGUUGGAGAGGUAACGGCUCCCCAAGGCAACGAUCAUUAGGGGUUCUGAGAGGAAGGUCCCCCACACUGGUACUGAGACACGGACCAGACUCCUACGGGAGGCAGCAGUGAGGAAUAUUGGUCAAUGGACGAGAGUCUGAACCAGCCAAGUCGCGUGCAGGAAGAAUGUCCUAUGGAUUGUAAACUGCUUUUGCAGGGGAAUAAAGUGCAUCACGUGUGAUGUUUUGUAUGUACUCUGCGAAUAAGGACCGGCUAACUCCGUGCCAGCAGCCGC
rnacentral:rRNA from 1 species